AUUGAACGCUGGCGGCAUGCUUUACACAUGCAAGUCGAACGGCAACAGGCCGCAAGGUGCUGACGAGUGGCGAACGGGUGAGUAAUGCAUCGGAACGUGCCCAGUCGUGGGGGAUAACGCAGCGAAAGCUGCGCUAAUACCGCAUACGAUCUAUGGAUGAAAGCGGGGGACCGUAAGGCCUCGCGCGAUUGGAGCGGCCGAUGUCAGAUUAGGUAGUUGGUGGGGUAAAGGCUCACCAAGCCAACGAUCUGUAGCUGGUCUGAGAGGACGACCAGCCACACUGGGACUGAGACACGGCCCAGACUCCUACGGGAGGCAUCAGUUGUGAAUUGUGGACAAUGGGCUCAAGCCUGAUCCAGCAAUGCCGCGUGCAGGAAGAAGGCCUUCGGGUUGUAAACUGCUUUUGUACGGAACGAAACGGUCCUGGUUAAUACCUGGGGCUAAUGACGGUACCGUAAGAAUAAGCACCGGCUAACUACGUGCCAGCCGCCGCAGUAAUAC
rnacentral:rRNA from 1 species